rnacentral:rRNA from 1 species
GCCGCAGUUAAUCUGUGCCAAGGUAGCAUAAUAAUUAGCUUUUUAAUUUAAAGAUAGAAUGAAAGGACAAACGACUUAAUAAUUUUUUCUUAAUUAUAUAAUAAAAUUAACAUAAAAGUAAAAAGACUUUUAUAAAAAAAGAAAGACAACAAGACCCUAUAGAACUUCACUCUUAGUUUUGCUGGGGCAGCAAAAAACACCUACUUUCAACUUAAUUACCAUAAAGACCUAAGAUUCUUAAAUAUUAGAACAAGUUACCUUAGGGAUAACAGCGCUAUUUUAUUAUUCAGCUCUUAUAAAAAAUAAAAUAUACGACCUCGAUGUUGAAUUAAUUUCACUUCACCAAGUAAAAUAGGUAAAAGUAAGUCUGUUCGACUUUUAAAAAAUUACAUGAUUUGAGUUCAGACCGGUGCAAACCAGGUCAGAUUAUAUCUUCUAUUAUAAAUUUACAGUACGAAAGGACCUAAAUAUAAAUA